rnacentral:lncRNA from 1 species
AUGAUGUGUUCUGCAUACAAGUUAAAUAGGAAAACCAUUACUUGGCCCAGAAGUAUAGCCCGCCGGCUUCCAAAGUGUGCCAAAUCCAUUUUCAGUACUGGUUCCAAGAAGUUUCUCAACAACACUGAAGGACCGUGCACAGACAGCACCAGAAAACGAUCUGGUGGAGAGGCGCUACUACGUGUGCCGAGUACAACGGGCUUCUGCUCCAGCAUCAACACAUUCAUGCAGCCAUCCAUCUGACAGGACUAUGGAUCUCAUUCACCCAGCUGCCAGCUCAGGAGGAGUGAGCUGGCUUUUGAAGCACUUCUCUGAGCUCCAGUUAAUUUGGUGGAGACGUUUCCCCCCAAGAUGAAUCAGAUAACUUUAGAGGUCAAGAAAACAUAUCAACUUAAAAAGACACCCUUCUCAUAAUAUCAGGACAGUGAAGAGGAGUGGGAGGCAAGAAAAACCUGUGCUUUUGCCAAGUGAGAGUCAUCGUAAACACAAGAUCCAGCCAAUGUAAAACACUUUGAAGUCCCAGAUAUUUCCAUCAUAGACAUUUAACAUAUUGUUACCCUCAACUCCCCUUUUCUAAACAGGGAGACGUUCCAGGGUUCAGUGCUUAGCCAAGCUUGGUUUCUUUGGCAGGAAGACCGCUAGAGGCAUAUUGCCAUUUUAAAAAGUUUCAGUUUAUUUACUAAUAUUUCAGGUGAGGCGCAGCUGGAGCAACUGCUCAAAACACUGAAGUGGACAAAAUCCACCUCAGCUGCCAGAGCGUCAUUGUUAACAUUGUGUUUAUAUGUACCUUCUAACUAAUAAUAUUACAAUACUGCUCAAUAUCUACUACAAAUUAUCUAUCCUAUCUAUCUAUCUAUCUAUCUAUCUAUCUAUCUAUCUACAUGGUUUGAUGGACUUGGGCCAUACUUGGUACUCAUAUCCUUCAUGAUCCAACAAAAAAUAUUGAUGGGAUUUGGGCAGGGGUUGAUAGAGGAUAGUGGGGGUUGUAGUCCAACUACUCCCGCAGAAUCAUGUCAAUCCCAACAAUGAUGGAUCUGGACCAAGCCUGGCACAUGUACUCAUUAUGACCAACUUAAAACACUGCUGAAGUAUGAGGGGAGAUUGACAGGGGAUGCUAGGAGUUGUAGUCCAUACACAUCCAGAGAACAGUGUCAAUACCACUGAUGAUGGAUCUGUAUCUAACCUGGUGCACAUAUCCUUCAUUAUCCAACUUAUAAUACUGGCAUGAUAGAGGAUAAUGGGAGUUGAAAUCCAGUCACAUUUGGAGAGCAACAUGAGUCCUGCCCACUAUCAAAGGUGUUC